UUAACCCCGCUGAAAUUAGCAUAUCAAUAAGCGGAGGAAAAGAAACUAACAAGGAUUCCCCUAGUAACUGCGAGUGAAGCGGGAAAAGCUCAAAUUUAAAAUCUGGCGGUCUCUGGCCGUCCGAGUUGUAAUCUAGAGAAGUAAUGCCCGUGCUGGACCGUGUAUAAGUCUCCUGGGAUGGAGCGUCAUAGAGGGUGAGAAUCCCGUCUUUGACACGGACUACCAGUGCAUUGUGGUAUGCUCUCAAAGAGUCGAGUUGUUUGGGAAUGCAGCUCAAAAUGGGUGGUAAAUUCCAUCUAAAGCUAAAUAUUGGCGAGAGACCGAUAGCGAACAAGUACCGUGAGGGAAAGAUGAAAAGAACUUUGGAAAGAGAGUUAAACAGUACGUGAAAUUGCUGAAAGGGAAACGCUUGAAGUCAGUCGCGUUGGCCAGGGAUCAGCCUUGCUUUUGCAUGGUGUACUUUCUGGUUGACGGGUCAGCAUCAAUUUUGACCGCUGGAAAAGGGCCUGGGGAAUGUGGCAGCUUCGGCUGUGUUAUAGCCCCUGGUCGCAUACAGUGGUUGGGAUUGAGGAACUCAGCACGCCGCAAGGCCGGGUUUCGACCACGUUCGUGCUUAGGAUGCUGGCAUAAUGGCUUUAAGCGACCCGUCUUGAAACACGGACCAAGGAGUCUAACAUGCCUGCGAGUAUUUGGGUGGAAAACCCAAGUGCGUAAUGAAAGUGAAAGUUGAGAUCCCUGUCGUGGGGAGCAUCGACGCCCGGACCAGAACUUUUGGGACGGAUCCGCGGUGGAGCAUGUAUGUUGGGACCCGAAAGAUGGUGAACUAUGCCUGAAUAGGGUGAAGCCAGAGGAAACUCUGGUGGAGGCUCGUAGCGAUUCUGACGUGCAAAUCGAUCGUCAAAUUUGGGUAUAGGGGCGAAAGACUAAUCGAACCAUCAAUGGC
rnacentral:rRNA from 1 species